GACGAACGCUGGCGGCGCGCUUAACACAUGCAAGUCGAGCGAAGCGGCGGACGGGUGAGUAACACGUGAGUAACCUGCCUUAGACAUUGGGAUAGCCUCGGGAAACCGGGAUUAAUACCAAAUGGUCUAAGAUGGACUCGCGUCCCAUUCGCUAGUUGAUGAGGUAACGGCCCACGAAGGCGACGAUGGGUAGCCGGCCUGAGAGGGUGAACGGCCACAUUGUAACUGAGAAACGGUCCAAACUCUACGGGAGGCAGCAGUGGGGAAUAUUGCACAAUGGAGUGAACUCUGAUGCACCGAGGCCGCAUGAACGAAGAAGGCUUUCGAGUCGUAAAGUUCUUUUAUAUGGGAAGCGGUACCAUAAGAAAAAGCCCCGGCUAACUACGUGCCAGCCGCCGCGGUAAUAC
rnacentral:rRNA from 1 species